UUUACAGAGAGUUUGAUCCUGGCUCAGGAUGAACGCUGGCGGCGUGCUUAACACAUGCAAGUCGAACGGAGUUAUUUGAAGGAAGUUUUCGGAUGGAAUUUAAAUAACUUAGUGGCGGACGGGUGAGUAACGCGUGGGUAACCUGCCUCACACUGGGGGAUAACAACCAGAAAUGGUUGCUAAUACCGCAUAAGCGCACAGUAUCGCAUGAUACCGUGUGAAAAACUCCGGUGGUGUGAGAUGGACCCGCGUUGGAUUAGCUAGUUGGCA
rnacentral:rRNA from 1 species